rnacentral:rRNA from 1 species
AACAGCUCAAAUUUGAAAUCCGGUCNNCCUACGGGGGCCUGAGUUGUAAUUUGCAGAGGAUGUUUCGGGUACGGCUGCGGUUUAAGUUCCUUGGAACAGGACGUCAUGGAGGGUGAGAAUCCCGUGUGGGACCGCCGGCCACGCCCAUGUGAAACGCCUUCGACGAGUCGAGUUGUUUGGGAAUGCAGCUCAAAAUGGGUGGUAAAUUUCAUCUAAAGCUAAAUACCGGCCAGAGACCGAUAGCGCACAAGUAGAGUGAUCGAAAGAUGAAAAGCACUUUGAAAAGAGAGUUAAAAAGCAUGUGAAAUUGUUGAAAGGGAAGCGCUUGCGACCAGACUUGGCCCCGGGUGUUCAGCCGGCGUUCUCGCCGGUGCACUCGCCCGGGGACAGGCCAGCAUCGGUUCAGGUGGCCGGAUAAAGGCCCCCGGAAUGUGGCUCCUCUCGGGGAGUGUUAUAGCCGAGGGUGCCAUGUGGCUCGCCCGGACCGAGGUUCGCGCUUCGGCACGGAUGCUGGCGUAAUGGUUGUAAGCGGCCCGUCUUGAAACACGGACCAAGGAGUUGAUCAUCUGUGCGAGUGUUUGGGUGUCAAACCCACACGCGGAAUGAAAGUGAACGGAGGUGGGAGCCCUCGCGGGCGCACCAUCGACCGAUCCUGAUGUCUUCGGAUGGAUUUGAGUAAGAGCACAGCUGAUCUGACCCGAAAAAUGGUGAACUAUGCCUGAAUAGGGUGAAGCCAGAGGAAACUCUGGUGRAGGCUCGCAGCGGUUCUGACGUGCAAAUCGAUCGU